ensembl:piRNA 21ur-14307 ncRNA
UUCUUCGAGGCAAAGCAAGAU